UCUAAUAUGGCAGAUUAGUGCAAUGAACUUAAACUUCAUAAAUAAAGUAUACACUUUUAUUAGAA
rnacentral:tRNA from 1 species